rnacentral:rRNA from 1 species
GAAGAACGCAGCUAAUUGCGCGUCAACAUGUGAACUGCAGGAUACAUGAACAUUGACAUUUCGAACGCACAUUGCGGUCCUCGGAUACUGUUCCCGGACCACCCCUGACUGAGGGUCGU